UACGUAGGGGGCAAGCGUUGUCCGGAUUUAUUGGGCGUAAAGAGCGUGUAGGCGGCUUGGUAGGUCCGCUGUGAAAACUCGAGGCUCAACCUCGAGAUGUCGGCGGAAACCACUUGGCUAGAGUCCGGAAGAGGAGAGUGGAAUUCCCGGUGUAGCGGUGAAAUGCGCAGAUAUCAGGAAGAACACCCGGGGCGAAGGCGGCUCUCUGGGACGGUACUGACGCUGAGACGCGAAAGCGUGGGGAGCGAACAGG
rnacentral:rRNA from 1 species